rnacentral:rRNA from 1 species
CCUACGGGUGGCAGCAGUGAGGGAUAUUGGACAAUGGGGGAAACCCUGAACCAGCAACGCCGCGUGAGGGAAGAAGGUUUUCGGAUUGUAAACCUCUGUCCUCAGUGAAGAAAAUGACGGUAGCAGAGGAGGAAGCCCCUGCUAACUACGUGCCAGCAGCCGCGGUAAUACGUAGGGAGCGAGCGUUGUCCGGAUUUACUGGGUGUAAAGGGUGCGUAGGCGGGUAAGCAAGUCAGAAGUGAAAUCCCUGGGCUUAACCAAGGAACUGCUUUUGAAACUGUGUACCUUGAGUGAAGUAGAGGGAGGCGGAAUUCCAGGUGUAGCGGUGAAAUGCGUAGAGAUCGGGAGGAACACCAGUGGCGAAGGCGGCCUACUGGACUUUAACUGACGCUGAGGCACGAAAGCGUGGGUAGCAAACAGGAUUAGAUACCCCAGUAGUC